rnacentral:rRNA from 1 species
GAUACCCUGUUAUUACAAAUAUAAUAAAAAAAACUAAGGUAGUAAUAGAUAUGUUCUUGAAACUUAAAAAAUUUGGCGGUAUUUUAGUCUAUUCAGAGGAACCUGUUUUAUAAUCGAUAAUCCACGAUGGACCUUACUUAUAUUUGUUAACAGUUUAUAUACCGUCGUUAUUAGAAUAUUUUAUAAGAAUAUUAAUAUUCUUAAUUUUUAUAAAAAAAUAUAUCAGAUCAAGGUGUAGCUUAUAUAUAAGUAAAAAUGGGUUACAAUAAAAUUAUUUAAAUGAAUAUAAAUUUGAAAUAUUUAUUGAAGGUGGAUUUGAUAGUAAAAUUAUAAAGAUAAAUAAUUUGAUUAUAGCUCUAAAAUAUGUACAAAUCGCCC